rnacentral:rRNA from 1 species
UUUAACGAUGAAGCUUCUAGCUUGCUAGAAGUGGAUUAGUGGCGCACGGGUGAGUAACGCAUAGGUAACAUGCCCUUUAGUCUGGGAUAGCCACUGGAAACGGUGAUUAAUACUGGAUACUCCCUACGGGGGAAAGUAGCACUCAAUAAUGCCCUUAAAGUGUUUUUAGAAACAAAGAGAGUGGAGUAAAUAUCGUUUUAGAUUCUGUAAGUUUGUCUUUAAUAAAUGCAGCAGAAUAUAAAAUGAUAGUUGCUUUGCUAGUCUUUGUUAAAUAAAAAUAGUUUAAGGGUAUUAUUGAGUGCUCUCGCUAAAGGAUUGGCCUAUGUCCUAUCAGCUUGUUGGUGAGGUAAUGGCUCACCAAGGCUAUGACGGGUAUCCGGCCUGAGAGGGUGAUCGGACACACUGGAACUGAGACACGGUCCAGACUCCUACGGGAGGCAGCAGUAGGGAAUAUUGCUCAAUGGGGGAAACCCUGAAGCAGCAACGCCGCGUGGAGGAUGAAGGUUUUAGGAUUGUAAAC